GUGAAUCAUCGAAUUUUUGAACGCAUAUUGCACUCUCUGGUAUUCCGGAGAGUAUGCCUGUUUGAGGGUAAUUAAAAAGAAUCUGUUACCAAUUUUUUUUGGUUAAUUGUAAUUAGUUUUCCGCGUUAAUAGCGUUAGCUUGAUAUAAAUGGUAGUCUCAGUUUAGUCGAGACGCGUCAUAUUGUUAUUUCUCGAAAUCA
rnacentral:misc_RNA from 1 species